AUGGCAAGCCCGGUUUCAAAGCAAAGACCUGAGGAAGAAUGUAGAUUGAUCACUGUGAUUUCAAGUCCUUCAGAGCUAGAGCUGCUAAGACUUGAGACAGAUAUAUACAGGGGCCUACAAGAUCCAAUUCAUAAGAAGGCCGAGGCACAUCAAUCAAACGCCAACUCACCUGCUAUUGGCACUAAGGGAGGAAGAAAAAAUAAAAUUGUCCCUGAACGCUCGAGACACGCAAAUAGGAAACUGAGUUUGGGAAAGGUGGUUGUCUCCUUGACGCACACCAUGGUGCCCUUGUCUACUCUCCGUCUUCUUCCUUGGACAAACACCUUAUGA
rnacentral:rRNA from 1 species